AAAUUGAAGAGUUUGAUCAUGGCUCAGAUUGAACGCUGGCGGCAGGCCUAACACAUGCAAGUCGAACGGUAACAGGAAGCAGCUUGCUGCUUUGCUGACGAGUGGCGGACGGGUGAGUAAUGUCUGGGAAACUGCCUGAUGGAGGGGGAUAACUACUGGAAACGGUGGCUAAUACCGCAUAACGUCGCAAGACCAAAGAGGGGGACCUUCGGGCCUCUUGCCAUCAGAUGUGCCCAGAUGGGAUUAGCUUGUUGGUGAGGUAACGGCUCACCAAGGCGACGAUCCCUAGCUGGUCUGAGAGGAUGACCAGCCACACUGGAACUGAGACACGGUCCAGACUCCUACGGGAGGCAGCAGUGGGGAAUAUUGCACAAUGGGCGCAAGCCUGAUGCAGCCAUGCCGCGUGUAUGAAGAAGGCCUUCGGGUUGUAAAGUACUUUCAGCGGGGAGGAAGGGAGUAAGGUUAAUAACCUUAUUC
rnacentral:rRNA from 2 species